rnacentral:rRNA from 1 species
AGAGUUUGAUCAUGGCUCAGAGCGAACGCUGGCGGCAGGCCUAAUACAUGCAAGUCGAACGCACCUUCGGGUGAGUGGCGGACGGGUGAGUAACGCGUGGGAACGUGCCCUUUGGUACGGAACAACUGAGGGAAACUUCAGCUAAUACCGUAUGUGCCCUUCGGGGGAAAGAUUUAUCGCCAUUGGAGCGGCCCGCGUUGGAUUAGGUAGUUGGUGGGGUAAAGGCCCACCAAGCCUACGAUCCAUAGCUGGUCUGAGAGGAUGACCAGCCACACUGGGACUGAGACACGGCCCAGACUCCUACGGGAGGCAGCAGUAGGGAAUCUUGCGCAAUGGGCGAAAGCCUGACGCAGCCAUGCCGCGUGAAUGAUGAAGGUCUUAGGAUUGUAAAAUUCUUUCACCGGGGACGAUAAUGACGGUACCCGGAGAAGAAGCUCCGGCUAACUUCGUGCCAGCAGCCGCGGUAAUAC